GAUGAACGCUGGCGGCGUGCCUAAUACAUGCAAGUCGAGCGAAUGGAUUAAGAGCUUGCUCUUAUGAAGUUAGCGGCGGACGGGUGAGUAACACGUGGGUAACCUGCCCAUAAGACUGGGAUAACUCCGGGAAACCGGGGCUAAUACCGGAUAACAUUUUGAACCGCAUGGUUCGAAAUUGAAAGGCGGCUUCGGCUGUCACUUAUGGAUGGACCCGCGUCGCAUUAGCUAGUUGGUGAGGUAACGGCCCACCAAGGCAACGAUGCGUAGCCGACGUGAGAGGGGGAUCGGCCACACGGGGACUGGGUAACGGCCCAGACUCCUACGGGAGGCAGCAGUAGGGAAUCUUCCGCAAUGGACGAAAGUCUGACGGAGCAACGCCGCGUGAGUGAUGAAGGCUUUCGGGUCGUAAAACUCUGUUGUUAGGGAAGAACAAGUGCUAGUUGAAUAAGCUGGCACCUUGACGGUACCUAACCAGAAAGCCACGGCUAACUACGUGCCAGCCGCCGCGGUAA
rnacentral:rRNA from 1 species